rnacentral:rRNA from 1 species
AUGAUGGAGAGUUCGAUCCUGGCUCAGAACGAACGAUGGCGGCGCGUUUUAAGCAUGCAAGUCGAGCGGCAGCAGCAAUGCGAGAGCGGCGGACGGGUGAGUAACACGUGGGUAAUAUGCCUUUCAGUCGGGGAUAGCCGGUGGAAACACAGGAUAAUACCGGAUGCGAUGGCCACCACACAAGUGGAGGUCAGGAAAGGAGCCAAGGCUCCGCCGGAGGAUGAGCCCGCGUCCCAUUAGCUUGAUGGUGAGGUAAAGGCCCACCAUGGCGAUGAUGGGUAGCCGGCCUGAGAGGGUGAACGGCCACAUUGGAACUGAGACACGGUCCAGACUCCUACGGGAGGCAGCAGCUAAGAAUCUUCCACAAUGGACGAAAGUCUGAUGGAGCGACGCCGCGUGGGCGAUGAAGGCCGUGAGGUUGUAAAGCCCUUUUCUUGAGGGGGAAUAAGGCAGGCAGGGAAUGGCCUGGCGAUGACGUGAAUCAAGGAAUAAGCCCCGGCUAACUACGUGCCAGCAGCCGCGG